rnacentral:rRNA from 1 species
UACGGGGGGGGCAAGCGUUGUUCGGAAUUACUGGGCGUAAAGGGCGCGUAGGCGGUCUGCUAAGUUGGAUGUGAAAACUCUGGGCUUAACCCAGAGCCUGCAUUCAAUACUGACAGGCUAGAGUUCUGGAGGGGAUAGCGGAAUUCCUGGUGUAGCGGUGAAAUGCGUAGAUAUCAGGAGGAACACCGGUGGCGAAGGCGGCUAUCUGGACAGAGUCUGACGCUGAAGGCGCGAAAGCUAGGGGAGCAAACAGG